AUGAAAUGGCAGUCGUUCCUCUCCACUUUUGUGCUUAACAAGAUGUGUAAGAUCAUAACUAGUGGGGUGAGGACUAACAAGGGCUUCAAGGAGGUGCACUUGAGCCUUGUUGCAAAGCAGGUGUUCGACUUUUGUGGACAGAAGGUCACCUCGACCCAGGCGUACAACCACCUGAGAAAGUGGAGAGCUCGAUGGAUCCAAGUGUCCAAGCUCAGAGACCUUAGCAGUGCUUCAUGGGAUGAGGACACCUGCUCGAUCCUUCUGGAGGCAGAGCACUAUCAAGGCCACGUCGCGGCUCACCCCAAGGACGAUGAGUUUCUCGACACCCCUAUCCAGAACUACCACCAGAUGCAGCAGAUCUUCUCCUUCGGGCUGGCAACCGGCAAGCAUGACAUGGGCUCUGGUCUGCCGCUGGGCUCGCCGAUGCUGGAGUAUCCAGACACCCAGGAGUCAGACACCAUCAACGUUGAUGCUCCUGAGAAGGAUGCUGAGCACGUUCCUGUGCUUGAUAGGAAGAGGAAGCGGGCAGGCUUCAUGGAGGAGGAGUUGAGCGUCUUCAGCAGCAUGACUGAGGCAGUGAAGGAGGUGGCCACCGUCAUCAGGGAGAGCAAGAGUGUGGACGUCCACCCUAAGCUCUACAACGCCGUCAUGGAUUAG
rnacentral:rRNA from 1 species